rnacentral:sRNA from 1 species
AAUCCCUCCUGAUUUCUCAUGGCAGCUGCAAGAAUCUUAUUGACCUCCAGAAGCACCUGGAUACCCACAGCGAGGAGCCAGCCUACAGGUGUGAUUUUGAAAACUGCACCUUCAGUGCCCGAUCCCUCUGCUCUAUCAAGUCCCAUUACCGCAAAGUACAUGAAGGAGACUCUGAGCCAAGGUACAAAUGUCAUGUGUGUGACAAAUGCUUCACACGGGGCAACAACCUCACCGUGCACCUUCGCAAGAAGCACCAGUUCAAGUGGCCCUCAGGGCAUCCCCGUUUUCGGUAUGUCUCUCAACCCUCCUUCCCAGAUUAACACACUUGUUUUUAUACCUUUUCAACCAGUUUUAAAAACCUUAAUUUGGGUUGGGCGCGGUGGCUCACGCCUGUAAUCCCAGCACUUUGGGAGGCCAAGGUGGGCGGAUCAUGAGGUCAGGAGUUCGAGACCAGCCUGGCCAACAUGGUGAAACCCCGUCUCUACUAAAAAUACAAAAAGUAGCUGAGCAUGGUGGCACAUGCCUGUAGUCCCAACUACUUGGGAGGCUGAGGUGGGAGAAUCACUUGAACCCAGAAGGCGGAGGUUGUAGUGAGCUGAGAUCACGCCACUGCACUCCAACCUGGGUGACAGAGCGAGACUCCAUCUCAAAAAAAUAAAUAAAUAAAUAAAUAAAACCUUAAUUUGAUGGUGGUUUUAUGUCUGCCAUUUCCAUUUAGAUUCAAAGAAUCCUAAGAAUAAUGGUGGAGCAAAGCUUAUUUUUCUGUUUUUUGAAUCUUGUAAGGCAUGGUGCCAAACCCAAUAAAUGGUGCCAAAAAGUCCUGCAGCUGGAACUAGAGCUAGAAUCUAAGGGUUCUGAUCCUUAGCUCCAAGGCCUUCUCAUAAAUCCUUUGACACUUUCGCCCUCCAACACAGUCAGUCAGUCUCUGUUUUUCUGGUUGGUUUUCUAUAUAAAACUUUCCAUUUUGAGU